rnacentral:rRNA from 1 species
UACGGAGGGAGAUAGCGUUGUUCGGAAUUACUGGGCGUAAAGCGCACGUAGGCGGCUUUGUAAGUCAGAGGUGAAAGCCUGGAGCUCAACUCCAGAACUGCCUUUGAGACUGCAUCGCUUGAAUCCAGGAGAGGUGAGUGGAAUUCCGAGUGUAGAGGUGAAAUUCGUAGAUAUUCGGAAGAACACCAGUGGCGAAGGCGGCUCACUGGACUGGUAUUGACGCUGAGGUGCGAAAGCGUGGGGAGCAAACAGG